AUUGAACGCUGGCGGCAGGCUUAACACAUGCAAGUCGAGCGGAGAUGAGGUGCUUGCACCUUAUCUUAGCGGCGGACGGGCGAGUAAUGCUUAGGAAUCUGCCUAUAAGUGGGGGACAACAUUCCGAAAGGAAUGGUAAUACCGCAUACGUCCUACGGGCGAAAGAAGGGGAUCGUCGGACCUUGCGCUAAUAGAUGAGCGUAAGUAGGAUUAGCUAGUGGGUGGGGUAAAGGCCUACCAAGGCGACGAUCUGUGGCGGGUCUGAGAGGAUGAUCCGCCACACUGGACUGAGACACGGCCCAGACUCCUACGGGAGGCAGCAGUGGGGAAUAUCGGACAAUGGGGGGAACCCUGAUCCAGCCAUGCCGCGUGUGUGAAGAAGGCCUUAUGGUUGUAAAGCACUUUAAGCGAGGAGGAGGCUACUGAGACUAAUACUCUUGGAUAGUGGACGUUACUCGCGGAAUAAGCACCGGCUAACUCUGUGCCAGCAGCCGCGGUAACAC
rnacentral:rRNA from 1 species